CGAGUUUGAUCCUGGCUCAGAUUGAACGCUGGCGGAAUGCUUUACACAUGCAAGUCGAACGGCAGCACGGGGGCAACCCUGGUGGCGAGUGGCGAACGGGUGAGUAAUACAUCGGAACGUGCCCAGUCGUGGGGGAUAACGUAGCGAAAGCUACGCUAAUACCGCAUACGAUCUACGGAUGAAAGCGGGGGAUCGCAAGACCUCGCGCGAUUGGAGCGGCCGAUGGCAGAUUAGGCAGUUGGUGGGGUAAAGGCUCACCAAGCCUUCGAUCUGUAGCUGGUCUGAGAGGACGACCAGCCACACUGGGACUGAGACACGGCCCAGACUCCUACGGGAGGCAGCAGUGGGGAAUUUUGGACAAUGGGCGAAAGCCUGAUCCAGCCAUUCCGCGUGCAGGAUGAAGGCCCUCGGGUUGUAAACUGCUUUUGUACGGAACGAAACGGCCUUUUCUAAUACAGAGGGCUAAUGACGGUACCGUAAGAAUAAGCACCGGCUAACUACGUG
rnacentral:rRNA from 1 species